rnacentral:misc_RNA from 1 species
GAUGAAGAACGCAGCGAACUGCGAUAAGUAAUGUGAAUUGCAGAAUUCAGUGAAUCAUCGAGUCUUUGAACGCACAUUGCGCCCCCUGGCAUUCCGGGGGGCAUGCCUGUCCGAGCGUCAUUGCUGCCCUUCAAGCCCGGCUUGUGUGUUGGGUCGUCGUCCCCCCCGGGGGUCGGGCCCGAAAGGCAGCGGCGGCACCGCGUCCGGUCCUCGAGCGUAUGGGGCUUUGUCACCCGCUCGAUUAGGGCCGGCCGGGCGCCAGCCGGCGUCUCCAACCUUCUAUUUUACCAGGUUGACCUCGGAUCAGGUAGGGAUACCCGCUGAACUUAAGCAUAUCAAUAAGCGGAGGA